UUCCUUUGCUGAAAUAAUGAUAAUAAAUUAAUAAAUGUAAUACAAAUAUUUUUUUUCAGAUAAACUCUGAUGUUAUUCAAGUUAAUGAGUAUCCAUUUGUAAUUAUAACAGAAUUUGAAGAAGAAGAAACUGAAACCACUUAUUCCAUUGUCAUAGAUAAAGUAAUAUGUUUUACUUGCGACAAUCUUUUGGAAAACAUGAUUAUACUUGUAGUGUCGUAUUUUGUUUUCAACAGAAAUUACCAUGCGUCUUCAGCAUGUUUUAUGGAAUUCAUUCAAAUUUUUUCAAAAGAUGAAUCCUCAAGAUGUAAAAGUAAAUACUUUUUAUAACAAAUUACGUAAACUGCAAAGUAAAGGCUUGUCAAAGGCAACAGUUACGACAGCAUGCGCCUAAAAUAUUUCUAGUUCUUAAUAUUAAGUGCUAUACAAAGAACGUCUGAAUCAUUACAAAAAGUAGUACAAAGCAAUGACGUACAUAAUUGCGAUAUUAGCAGAUACAUCACAUACGACUGAUUAUGAAUGAUAAUAAUAACAAAUGUAAUAAGAAAAUUACAUAAACUGCAAAGUAAAGGCUUGUUAAAGGCAACAGUUGAGGCAGCAUGCGCCUAAAAUAUUUCUAGUUCUUAAUAUUAAGUGUAAUUAUUAAUAUACAAAGUAUAUUCUAUAAGAACGUCUGAAUCAUUACAAAAUGUAUUGUAAAGCAAUUGACGUACAUUGUAAUAGUGAUAUUGAGAUAUUUCAUUAAAAAACUAUUAAAACUGA